GUGGGGAAUUUUUCGCAAUGGGGGAAACCCUGACGAAGCAACGCCGCGUGGAGGAUGAAGGCCUUCGGGUCGUAAACUCCUGUCGACUGGGAAGAAUGCACCUGACCUAAUACGUCAAAGUGUUGACUGUACCGGUGGAGGAAGCCACGGCUAACUCUGUGCCAGCAGCCGCGGUAAUACAGAGGUGGCAAGCGUUGUUCGGAAUUACUGGGCGUAAAGGGCGCGUAGGCGGCCCGCCAAGUCCCGUGUGAAAUCCCCCGGCUCAACCGGGGAACGGCGCGGGAAACUAGCAGGCUUGAGUUCGGGAGAGGGAAGCGGAAUUCCGGGUGUAGCGGUGAAAUGCGCAGAUAUCCGGAGGAACACCGGUGGCGAAGGCGGCUUCCUGGACCGACACUGACGCUGAGGCGCGAAAGCUAGGGGAGCAAACGGGAUUAGAUACCCCGGUAGUCC
rnacentral:rRNA from 1 species